GGGCACUUGGCACAGUUGGUAGCGCGCACGCUUCGCAUGGAUAGAUUGCGUGAGGUCGUGGGUUCAACUCCCACAGUGUCCA